rnacentral:rRNA from 1 species
GACGAACGCUGACGGCGUGCUUAACACAUGCAAGUCGAACGCUGAAGCUUGGUGCUUGCACUGGGUGGAUGAGUGGCGAACGGGUGAGUAAUACGUGAGUAACCUGCCCUUGACUCUGGGAUAAGCCUGGGAAACUGGGUCUAAUACUGGAUACGACAUGUCACCGCAUGGUGGUGUGUGGAAAGGGUUUUACUGGGUUUGGAUGGGCUCACGGCCUAUCAGCUUGUUGGUGGGGUAAUGGCUCACCAAGGCGACGACGGGUAGCCGGCCUGAGAGGGUGACCGGCCACACUGGGACUGCGACACGGCCCAGACUCCUACGGGAGGCAGCAGUGGGGAAUAUUGCACAAUGGGCGGAAGCCUGAUGCAGCGACGCCGCGUGAGGGAUGACGGCCUUCGGGUUGUAAACCUCUUUCAGCACGGAAGAAGCGAAAGUGACGGUACGUGCAGAAGAAGCGCCGGCUAACUACGUG